UGUGUCAACAGUUUUCAGUAGGCUGGGUCUUCUGAAAGCACCGUUCUUUGCAGGGGUCCAUCUAUGGUCAUGAUUCUGACCAAGUGGAAUGCUGUUGCAGAAUGGAGACGAUUGAUGGGCCCAACAGACCCAGAAGAAGCAAAAGUACUUUCCCCUGACUCCAUCCGAGCCCAGUUUGGAAUAAGUAAAUUGAAAAACAUUGUCCAUGGAGCAUCUAAUGCCUAUGAAGCAAAAGAGGUUGUUAAUAGACUCUUUGAGGAUCCUGAGGAAAACUAAAGUAUAUACUGUGAAAACUUUGAGAAGAUAAUACAUAUGUUCACAUCAAUAUACAACCAUUUGGCACAGCUUCCUGGGAGGAAUAAGAAAAACAUGCUUUGGAGGAAAACUCAAGAUACAAAAAUGAAUGGCUAUGCAUAAUAACAAUAAAAAUGUAUUCCCC
rnacentral:sRNA from 1 species